rnacentral:rRNA from 1 species
CGCUGGCGGCGUGGAUAAACAUGCAAGUCGAGCGAGAUUUUUUCCUGUAGCAAUACAGGGAAAAGUCUAGCGGCGAACGGGUGCUUAACACGUGGGCAAUCUGUCUUAAAGUGGGGGAUAGCUCGGCGAAAGCCGAAUUAAUACCGCAUGUGAUUAGAGUGGACAUCCAUUCAAAAUUAAAGGUGGCGCAAGCUACCGCUUUUUGAGGAGCCCGCGGCCUAUCAGCUAGUUGGUGAGGUAACGGCUCACCAAGGCUUUGACGGGUAGCUGGUCUGAGAGGACGACCAGCCACACUGGGACUGAGACACGGCCCAGACACCUACGGGUGGCAGCAGUCGAGAAUUUUUCUCAAUGGGGGAAACCCUGAAGGAGCGACGCCGCGUGGAGGAUGAAGGUCUUCGGAUUGUAAACUCCUGUCAUUGGGGAACAAGUCGCUUACGUUAACUGCGUGAGCGUNGAUAGUACCCGAAGAGGAAGAGACGGCUAACUCUGUGCCAGCAGCCGCGGUAAUACAGAGGUCUCAAGCGUNGUUCG